CGCCAUCUCGCUCGCACUCCCAUGCACCGCAGGUACGCCGCGCCGCGUUGUGAGCUGUGAGGCGCGAGCGCACCAGGGCCGGGCGGCACUCUCCCGAACGGCAGCAGCCGAACGGAACCCGAACGUUCGACUCUCCGAAUCGCCGAUGCGGUGCGUGCUACGGUUGGGAACAGCGGGCGCCCAGCACCAAGCGUUUAGUUUCUUGUUUUUCUCCUAACUGAACAGCCACGACGGAACGGAUCGUCCGUGACGCUGCACCGUGUUUUUGUCGCACGACGCGUUCGCCAGCAAGAGAAGGCACAACGACUCACAGGAGAAGGUGUAAAUUGCAGAACUUUUAAAACGGAGCGUUUUGUUCGUCCCACCUGAAAAAGAAAACAAAGACAAAAACGUUCACCUUCCAAUAGUGAAGCGGAUUUUGAGCUGGACUCACUGGACCGUUCGGAGCAGAGACAGAGAAGACGCCUGUAUCCUGGCUGCCGCAAACCCGCACAUCGACAAAGCGGUGCAAUCCCGUGUCGCUUACCAAUGUCAAACGAUUGUGGAUAAGAGCGUGUGUGGUGCAGCCACACGUUAACGGGACGCUUGCCAGCAGAAUCUCGGCUGGUGCAGUGAUAGUGUAGUGUAGUAGGCUGGUCCAGUUUUGUUGACUGGGUAGCCGUCGCCGUCAGCACUAAACAAAACAAGCAAGGAUGUGAGCAACCCGUAGUGCGUACUGCUCGGUGUGUCUGUGUGUGUGUGUGCGCGCGCGUGUGUUAGUGCUUACCACGGCUAGUGGAACAACAAAAAAGAGAGAAAGAGAAGGCACAAAAAAGUCGCAACAAGUGCAUGUGAAAGGAAAAGGCCAAAAAAAAGGAAGUGAUUUUGCUGUGUGCGUGUGUGAUUCACUCUGUUCUUGCCGCAAAAGAGAAGUAGCAGCAGUAGUAGUAGUAGUAGUACCGUGAUUUACCGAAGGGUGUGUACGUGUGUCGUUUGGGCGGCAGUGUGUGGUAAGUGUUUGUGCAAGUGCUGUCACCAGGCGCAAAGGAAGUGCAAUAAGUAAAUCGGGUUGCGUGCCUCCUCUAACCCUUCCCGCUAGUGUCCACCUGUGUGUGUGUGUGUUUGUAUUUAUGUGUCACAUUCAGUAGUGUGUACGUGCGCGUGUGUGUGCGCUAUGAAGUAAGUGGUGUACAUCUGUGCGUUUGUGGGUGUGUAUGCGUGUGCGUUUGUGUUGAGGAAGGGCCCAGACGGCGAUAAGCAAGAUCGGAUCGCAAAACAUACGACAGGCGGAACAGCUGAAAACGCUGAAAUAGCGGAAGAAGAAAAAGUAAACCCCGUGAGAGGAAAGAAAGAAAAAGACCGGAGGACGGAAACGCUUUUGGGGGAAGCGCGAGACACAAAUAAUA